GCUAAGGUAGCAUAAUCAUUUGUUAUUUAAUUGGUAGCUGGAAUGAAAGGUUAAACUAGCUUAUUAAGUUUGUGUAACUAAAUAGAAAUUUAAAGUUAAGGUAAGAAUUCUUUAAUUUUCUAGGGGACGAUAAGACCCUAGAAGCUUAACGAGCAGGUUUUUGGUUGUAUAAGCUAGUUUGUUUUACUGGGGCGGUAAAAAUAAGUAAGCUAUUUAUUGUUUAAAGGAUCCUAAAUAUAAAGAAAAAAUGGGGUAGUUACUCUAGGGAUAA
rnacentral:rRNA from 1 species